rnacentral:rRNA from 1 species
AUUGAACGCUGGCGGCAGGCCUAACACAUGCAAGUCGAGCGGAUGAAGGGAGCUUGCUCCUGGAUUCAGCGGCGGACGGGUGAGUAAUGCCUAGGAAUCUGCCUGGUAGUGGGGGAUAACGUCCGGGAACGGGCGCUAAUACCGCAUACGUCCUGAGGGAGAAAGUGGGGGAUCUUCGGACCUCACGCUAUCAGAUGAGCCUAGGUCGGAUUAGCUAGUUGGUGGGGUAAAGGCCUACCAAGGCGACGAUCCGUAACUGGUCUGAGAGGAUGAUCAGUCACACUGGAACUGAGACACGGUCCAGACUCCUACGGGAGGCAGCAGUGGGGAAUAUUGGACAAUGGGCGAAAGCCUGAUCCAGCCAUGCCGCGUGUGUGAAGAAGGUCUUCGGGUUGUAAAGCACUUUAAGUUGGGAAGAAGGGCAGUAAGUUAAUACCUUGCUGUUUUGACGUUACCAACAGAAUAAGCACCGGCUAACUUCGU